rnacentral:pre_miRNA from 1 species
AGCCUUCUGUAUCUGUGCUGAGAUUUCGUCAGCGAUCAACCCACUGACGUUGGCUGAUGCAACUCUCCAAAUAAGUGGAGCG